GAUGAAGAACGCAGCGAAACGCGAUAAGUAAUGUGAAUUGCAGAAUCCAGUGAAUCAUCGAAUCUUUGAACGCACAUUGCGCCCGCCAGCAUUCUGGCGGGCAUGCCUGUUCGAGCGUCAUUUCAACCCUCGACCUCCCCUUGGGGAGGUCGGCGUUGGGGACCGGCAGCACACCGCCGGCCCUGAAAUGGAGUGGCGGCCCGUCCGCGGCGACCUCUGCGCAGUAAUACAGCUCGCACCGGGACCCCGACGCGGCCACGCCGUAAAACACCCAACUUCUGAACGUUGACCUCGAAUCAGGUAGGACUACCCGCUGAACUUAAGCAUAUCAGUAAGCGGAGGA
rnacentral:misc_RNA from 1 species